rnacentral:rRNA from 1 species
CAAAAACAUGUCUAUAUGAUUGUUAUAUAAAGUCUAGCCUGCCCACUGAUUUGUUUUAAAGGGCCGCGGUAUAUUGACCGUGCGAAGGUAGCAUAAUCAUUAGUCUUUUAAUUGGAGGCUUGUAUGAAUGGUUGGACAAAAAGUAAGCUGUCUCGGUUAUAAUAAUUGAACUUAACUUUUAAGUGAAAAGGCUUAAAUGUUUCAGGGGGACGAUAAGACCCUAUAAAGCUUGACAAUAAUUUCGUUAUAUUAUAAAUUGUUAGUAUAACUUGAUUUUAACGGGAGUUUGUUUCGUUGGGGCGACGGGAAUAUAAUAAAUAACUGUUCUUUUAAAUAUAAUUACAAAAAUACUUGGUAAAUAAUUGAUCCUCUAUUAGAGAUUAAAAGAUUAAGUUACUUUAGGGAUAACAGCGUAAUCUUCUUUGAGAGUCCACAUCGACAAGAAGGUUUGCGACCUCGAUGUUGAAUUAAGGUAUCCUUAUAAUGCAG